GACGAACGCUGGCGGCGUGCUUAACACAUGCAAGUCGAACGGUGAAGGGAUCAGCUUGCUGGUUCUGGAUGAGUGGCGAACGGGUGAGUAACACGUGAGUAACCUGCCCCCUUCUUCUGGAUAACCGCAUGAAAGUGUGGCUAAUACGGGAUAUUCUGCGCCUGCUGCAUGGUGGGUGUGGGAAAGAUAUUGUUUCGGUGGGGGAUGGGCUCGCGGCCUAUCAGCUUGUUGGUGGGGUGAUGGCCUACCAAGGCGGUGACGGGUAGCCGGCCUGAGAGGGUGGACGGUCACACUGGGACUGGGACACGGCCCAGACUCCUACGGGAGGCAGCAGUGGGGAAUAUUGCACAAUGGGCGCAAGCCUGAUGCAGCGACGCCGCGUGAGGGAUGGAGGCCUUCGGGUUGUGAACCUCUUUCGCCAGUGAAGCAGGCCUGUCCCUUGUGGGUGGGUUGACGGUAGCUGGAUAAGAAGCGCCGGCUAACUACGCG
rnacentral:rRNA from 1 species